GACGAACGCUGGCGGCGUGCUUAACACAUGCAAGUCGAACGGUAAGGCCCUGCGUUUGUGGGGCGCUCGAGUGGCGAACGGGUGUGUAACACGCGAGUAACCUGUCCCUGAUUUUGGGAUAACUUCAGGAAACUGGGGCUAAUACCGGAUAGGAGCUCCUGCUGCACGGUGGGGGUAGGAAAGUUUCGGCGUUUGUGGAUGGACUCGCGGCUUAUCAGCUUGUUGGUGGGGUAGUGGCUUACCAAGGCUUUGACGGGUAGCCGGCCUGAGAGGGUGACCGGCCACAUUGGGACUGAGAUACGGCCCAGACUCCUACGGGAGGCAGCGGUGGGGAAUAGUGCACAAUGGGCGGAAGCCUGAUGCAGCAACGCCGCGUGCGGGAUGACGGCCUUCGGGUUGUAAACCGCUUUCGCCUGUGACGAAGCGUGAGUGACGGUAAUGGGUAAAGAAGCACCGGCUAACUACGUG
rnacentral:rRNA from 1 species